rnacentral:rRNA from 1 species
UCGGGAAUUUUGGGCAAUGGGCGAAAGCCUGACCCAGCAACGCCGCGUGAAGGAUGAAGUAUUUCGGUAUGUAAACUUCGUAAGAAUAGGAAGAAUAAAUGACGGUACUAUUUGUAAGGUCCGGCUAACUACGUGCCAGCAGCCGCGGUAAUACGUAGGGACCAAGCGUUGUUCGGAUUUACUGGGCGUAAAGGGCGCGUAGGCGGUGUGUCAAGUCAGUUGUGAAAUCUCCGAGCUUAACUCGGAACGGUCAACUGAUACUGUCACACUAGAGUACAGAAGGGGCAAUCGGAAUUCUUGGUGUAGCGGUGAAAUGCGUAGAUAUCGGGAGGAACAUCAGUGGCGAAGGCGGCUUUCUGGACUAAUACUGACACUGAGGCGCGAAAGCGUGGGUAGCAAACAGGAUUAGAUACCCAAGUAGUCCCUGAGCGGGCUGGCAAGGCGCAU